GGAUCAGUACAGGGGCCCGCAGCUCCCUCACUAUCUGGCAAACCACACAUUUCUGAUUGUGACCCCACAUGGCUCUUUAAGGCCUCAGAGACUGCUCACCAGGUGCCGAGCAAUUCCACUGCAACCUUGUCAUUUUUAAUAGCAGAGUCCCUCACCUUGACCUCAAUUUGGUCCCAUGUUUCAGGAUCAUAAACUGUAUGAUUGUUAAUAAAGGGAAUAAGCUGUGAGGUUACC